rnacentral:rRNA from 1 species
AUUGAACGCUGGCGGCAGGCCUAACACAUGCAAGUCGAGCGGAUGAGAGGAGCUUGCUCCCUGAUUUAGCGGCGGACGGGUGAGUAAUGCCUAGGAAUCUGCCUGGUAGUGGGGGAUAACGUUCCGAAAGGAACGCUAAUACCGCAUACGUCCUACGGGAGAAAGCAGGGGACCUUCGGGCCUUGCGCUAUCAGAUGAGCCUAGGUCGGAUUAGCUAGUUGGUGAGGUAAUGGCUCACCAAGGCGACGAUCCGUAACUGGUCUGAGAGGAUGAUCAGUCACACUGGAACUGAGACACGGUCCAGACUCCUACGGGAGGCAGCAGUGGGGAAUAUUGGACAAUGGGCGAAAGCCUGAUCCAGCCAUGCCGCGUGUGUGAAGAAGGUCUUCGGAUUGUAAAGCACUUUAAGUUGGGAGGAAGGGCAUUAACCUAAUACGUUAGUGUUUUGACGUUACCGACAGAAUAAGCACCGGCUAACUUCGUGCCAGCAGCCGCGGUAAUACGAAGGGUGCAAGCGUUAAUCGGAAUUACUGGGCGUAAAGCGCGCGUAGGUGGUUCGUUAAGUUGGAUGUGAAAGCCCCGGGCUCAACCUGGGAACUGCAUCCAAAACUGGCGAGCUAGAGUACGGUAGAGGGUGGUGGAAUUUCCUGUGUAGCGGUGAAAUGCGUAGAUAUAGGAAGGAACACCAGUGGCGAAGGCGACCACCUGCACUGAUACUGACACUGAGGUGCGAAAGCGUGGGGAGCAAACAGGAUUAGAUACCCUGGUAGUCCACGCCGUAAACGAUGUCAACUAGCCGUUGGGUUCCUUGAGAACUUAGUGGCGCAGCUAACGCAUUAAGUUGACCGCCUGGGGAGUACGGCCGCAGGGUUAAAACUC